CCUGGCUCAGAUUGAACGCUGGCGGCAUGCUUUACACAUGCAAGUCGAACGGUAACAGGGGAGCUUGCUCCCGCUGACGAGUGGCGAACGGGUGAGUAAUGCAUCGGAACGUACCGAGUAAUGGGGGAUAACUAUCCGAAAGGAUGGCUAAUACCGCAUACGAUCUUAGGAUGAAAGUGGGGGACCUUCGGGCCUCACGUUAUUCGAGCGGCCGAUGCCUGAUUAGCUAGUUGGUAGGGUAAAAGCCUACCAAGGCUACGAUCAGUAGCGGGUCUGAGAGGAUGAUCCGCCACACUGGGACUGAGACACGGCCCAGACUCCUACGGGAGGCAGCAGUGGGGAAUUUUGGACAAUGGGGGCAACCCUGAUCCAGCCAUGCCGCGUGUCUGAAGAAGGCCUUCGGGUUGUAAAGGACUUUUGUUAGGGAGGAAAAUUUAUCCAUUAAUACUGGGUAAAGCUGACAGUACCUAAAGAAUAAGCACCGGCUAA
rnacentral:rRNA from 1 species